GGGGCAGUGGCGCAACGGACAACGUGCCUGACUACGGAUCAGGAUAUUCCAGGUUCAAAUGCUGGCUGGCUCG